rnacentral:sRNA from 1 species
UUAUAGCCCCGAUUGUAGUGGAAAUCCUUUUUCUUUAACUUCAGAAAGAAAAAGAUUGCAACGUAAAGCGGGAUAAAGC